UACGUAGGGGGCUAGCGUUGUCCGGAAUCAUUGGGCGUAAAGAGCGUGUAGGCGGCCCGGUAAGUCCGCUGUAAAAGUCAAAGGCUCAACCUUUGAAUGUCAGUGGAUACUGCCGGGCUAGAGUCCGGAAGAGGCGAGUGGAACUCCUGGUGUAGCGGUGGAAUGCGCAGAUAUCAGGAAGAACACCAACGGCGAAGGCAGCUCGCUGGGACGGUACUGACGCUGAGACGCGAAAGCGUGGGUAGCGAACAGG
rnacentral:rRNA from 1 species